GGAUGUGAGGGCGAUCUGGCUGGGACAUCUGUCACCCUAUUGAUCACCGGGGUUGAUGAGGCUGAUCUGGCUAGUUAGGUAGGUGUCCCCUUCCUCCUUCACCUUUCCAUGUGUGUCCCUCCUGAAGCUACACACUCAAUCAAAGAGGAUAAUCUUCCCUGAAUAGAGAUAGACCUGAUGAGUGUAUACAAGUAGCUAUGCUCCUCUGCUAGAACCUCCAAUCAAACUCUCUAGGAAAUCUUUCCUCAUAAUUCUAUCCAUGUGGCUCAGCUCUGCCCUCAGGG
ensembl:misc_RNA 7SK 7SK RNA